UACAGAGGGUGCGAGCGUUGUUCGGAAUUAUUGGGCGUAAAGGGCGCGUAGGCGGCGCCACAAGUCACUUGUGAAAACUCUGGGCUCAACUCAGAGCCUGCAAGCGAAACUGUGGUGCUGGAGUAUGGGAGAGGUGCGUGGAAUUCCCGGUGUAGCGGUGAAAUGCGUAGAUAUCUAGAGGAACGCCCAAGGCGAAGGCAGGCAGCUGGGCCAAUUCUGACGCUGAGGCACGAAAGCGUGGGGAGCAAACGGG
rnacentral:rRNA from 1 species